AGUGAACGCUGGCGGUAGGCCUAACACGUGCAAGUCGAACGGCAGCACAGUAAGAGCUUGCGCUUACGGGUGGCGAGUGGCGGACGGGUGAGGAAUACAUCGGAAUCUACUUUUUCGUGGGGGAUAACGUAGGGAAACUUACGCUAAUACCGCAUACGACCUACGGGGGAAAGCAGGGGAUCUUCGGAUCUUGCGCGAUUGAAUGAGCCGAUGUCGGAUUAGCUAGUUGGCGGGGUAAAGGCCCAGGAAGGCGAGGAUCCGUAGCUGGUGUGAGAGGAUGGUCGGCCACACUGGAGCUGAGACACGGUCCAGACUCCUACGGGACGCAGCAGUGGGGAAUAUUGGACAAUGGGCGGAAGCCUGAUCCAGCCAUACCGCGUGUGUGAAGAAGGCCUUCGGGUUGUAAAGCCCUUUUGUUGGGAAAGAAAAGCAUCAGGUUAAUACCACGCUGUUCUGACGGUACCCAAAGAAUAAGCACCGGCUAACUUCGUG
rnacentral:rRNA from 1 species